AGAUUAAAUGGGCAGAUUAUUCUAAAUUCAUUAUAACAUUGUUGCCUGUGUCUGCUCCCAAAAACUUCAUUUUUGUUUUCUGUACUUUGUUUUUACUUAGUGUAGCUUAUGGGCUGAACCCGUUCAGUGAGCUGAUGCUGAGGAUCACCAGUGACUUCCAUCCGCCCUCUUUCUUCGCUGCCUCAUAUGUUGCCAGCAAGAGUUGGUUCUGCCAGCAUCUGUGAUAUCUGGAUAACCGUGACCGCACUAUGAGAUGUAUUAGAAGAUAUACCAGUAUUGAAAGUCUGCAAGACCCUAUGGGAGGGCUCCUCCAAGAGAAAUGAAAUGUUAAUACAGACUAAUAAAGCACCAUUUUAGAGUACACAGAACUCUAUCAUGAUGGAUAAGUUGUGUGAGAAGACAUCAUAUGUGAGACUACAGAAAGAAGAGAAAAGCAGAAACAGUGAAUCUGGGAAAAUGAAGAUAUUAAAAAAGAAAGGGAAAUGAGUUUGCGCUAAUGACCUAGACGAGGAAAAAGAGUGACUCCAAAAACCCAAAGGACCAUGCUACAUGUAUUAUUUUUUGAAGAAGGAAGUUAAUAAAUCAUUCUUUCAUGUUAUAUAAACACAUCUAAAUGUGUGGAUUUUAUCAACUAUUUUUUAAAACUUUGACUGAAAAUUAUAUACCUUACUCCUAUAAAAUUCACCCUGGAAAACUGUUUUAAAAAAGAAGACUUAGAAAGUGAAUAAUCUAUAUUUUCUUCUCUGAAGUAUAAUGUAUACAUGGAAAUUACAGGUGAUCUAUGGAAAAAAUUGCAAUAUUCAGAAACUGAGUAAUGUCAUAGCAGAUCCAAUUAUGAAAUAAACAUUUCCUUGAAACUGGAAGAUCUUUACGCAUUUGAUAAAAACUGAAAUCAUAUUCUCCAGAGAGAAAAACAGAGGGAAAAGAAGCAUAUGGAGGUCAGUCUGGGUGUGACAUCCAUUACCACAUCUAUCUUUCCUCCAUACUCCCUGUAGAAAGGAGCAGCCUGUUCCCAACCUGGACUGAGAAAGGAUGACUUCACUGAAAGAUCUUUCAAAUAUCAAUGAAGAGAUGGCAUUUGUUUUGCAGGAUAGCUCAGAGAAAAUGCUCAAGGGACAAGAAAACCAUAAGAAAGAACAGUGAUGAGGCAAUGGGAUGCUGUCACUGGAAUGGGACAUUCCACAAUCAUCUGUAGUGGUGCACAAACUCAAAGAAAAAGAAUUAAGGGAAGUUUUAAACACCCUUGUCCUGGAGCAUGUUUGCACUCCUGCCUUCAUCCAGACAUCUUUUAAGAAACAAUAGCAAAAGCUUUGUCAUAUCCCAUAAAAACACCUCCAGCUUGUGGGGUGCUGUAGACAAACUAGACUUUGCCACCCCAGUGUGAGAUUCCUGGACCUGGUCAGCACCUCCGGAGAGAAGAGUUGGGGGGAGCCCUGGAAAGCAAAUCAUGAAGUUCUUCCUGGUCUGACCGCACUCCCAGGCAGGAGGACACAACCACAGGCGUUGGCACUGGCACAAGCCAUCCCACACAGAACAGGGGUGUCCCUGGGCUCCCUUUUCUGUAGGAAAGCACUGGCGUACAAGUACUGGUCUGAGGGGAUUGUAGAGACAUGAGGAGCAGCUGAGGGGUGAAAAGGAUAGGCAGAGCUUUCCUUACAUCUUCUCCCACGUGGUACAUUUGAGAUUUCUGAGCAAGGAAUUGCUGACACUUGCUAGUACCCAUGGGGUAAGAGGUUCUUGUGCCCAUUCACUGGAUGCGAACAAGGUGACAGCAAAGAUGACACAUGAGUGAUGAUACCGAUGUCUCCUUCCAAAGGAGGAAAAAAAAAAAAAACAGUCCUGAAAGGUCCUGAGUAUUAGCCAGAUGUUCAUCACACAAGCGGAGGAAAAAAUAUGAGGGGCUGUAAGAGUUAAUGGUUUUAUUAGCGAAUGCUCUGAGAUCUUGCCGUCAUCACGCCCCGGGGGAAGUGCAGAACUCUCGCUCUGUUCGUAUUUGCAACUCCCUAAAAUAAGACCACAGUGCCAGGGCUUGGAUUUCGCACAUUAAUCCUGAGGGACCUUCCAGCCACAUGGCUCUGAGACAGCAGGAAAAUUCUUUGUUUCUGUUUCUCAAAUCAAUCUGAUUAGCUGGAUUUCUACCAUAUGGGAAGCCUUACAAUGCAGGGACAGUCACUUCUUUAGAAAGUAGCAACAAGCACAGCUUAGAGAAACUUAUAGAAAAAAGGUAGUGUCUGUCAGCAAACACCAAAUGGACUAAGUCUGUACUGAUUUUGGGUUCUGUUUCCCACAGUGGAAGAGUGGGAAAGUUAUCUUCCCUUGCUCUUGGGAUAGAAAUGGUAUCGGAUGAAUCAGCCUCUUACAAGAGCUUUUUGGACAGAAUGCAGGAAAAUCUUCAUAUGAUUUGAAUUUUGUUAACUUGCAAGUGUUAUUAAUUUAUGUUGUUGGCAAACAUACUGUCAUUAAUAAGAGAAUCUGCCAAAUGCUACUACUUUAUGGGACUUAUGACAGUUGAAUCUCUUCGUCAAUAGCUUACAGCCUCACACCUGUUAGCAGGAUUCAUCCUGCCAGGCAGCAGGGACCUUGUGCAUGGGUGCAGUGUAUCGUUAGCUUCCACACUAGCCAGCCAAGUCUAUGGCACUCAGCCCUGUGCAGAAUUGAUUUUUGUGUUUCUGUCCUUUCCAGCAGAACCCUGGAAUAGUGAGAAGAACCAAUAAACAAACAAAAAAGAAAGGAAAAGGCCCAGAAUUUGCUGAAACUGCUAAAUUGAAAAACUCUAUGAUUUAAUCACAGGAACAGGAAGAGACACUAGAGAGAAAAAGAGAUUUGCAGUAGGACCUGUUGUGGAGGAUGAAGGAGAUCUGGAGACAGGUCUUGCUCCUGACACCUUCCCAUUCCCUCUGUAGACCUGCUCAGUCGAAGAACAGAUACUGCAUCCUGGCUGCAAGAGAUUGUCAAGUUCUGGUGCUGGAGGAAGAAAAGCCAUGGACCACACCCACCUGAUGUUCCUCCUCAGGACCACCAAAAUGUGGUGGUGGAUGGCAAUUAUUGCCUAAGGGUGGUGGGAGAACCCAUCUGCCACAUGGCUCUGAAAGGCAGGCAGACGGGAGAAAGCAUCAUCUUCUCUGAUGCGUGCAAUUGCCCAGAAUUGGAGGUCUGAAGGAAGUUGGGUGGCUGUGUGGAUGAGGACAGGGAGAAUUUUCUGGGUGAUUUCACAGGGGAAGUUUUAAAAACUAACAGACCAGGAAGAUCAGUCUGACGAGGCUUUUUAUGAGAGAAAACAAACACGUUAAACACAGCAUGUGGUGUCAGUGAAGGGAUUUAAGCUACUGGGAAGGAAAAGUAGUAGAUUUAGGCUGUGUGUAAAUUCAGAGAAGAAUCUGGGUAAAAUGUAGAGAAAGGAAGUUAAUUGGACUAAAGAUUUACCUUGGUCUGAUUUUAAGGAAUACAGAAAGAUGGAAAAUGAGUCAGGUCAUGGAAGCUCUGCAAAAAGAGAGUUCACAAUCCUUAAAAAAAGUGAGGAGGAAGAACAGAGAAUAUGUUCUUUUUCAAGAAGAAAGCCCUAUAAACUCUGUGACUUGCUGGCUGAGAUUUCACAGGGCAGUGGGCAAAACUAAAGGAGAUGUGAAAAGAAGGAAAGAAGAAAGGUCCUGCUGCAAGUUGACAGUUACUCCCAGGAACUUUACCAAUAACAAGAGCACAAAUUGUUCCAGAGCAGAAAAAGGUAGGAAAGUCAGCAAGAGGUCAGCUACACUGACAUUUACAUUUAUUGACCUUAAUAGAUCUUAUUACUGGUAUAGAUAAAAUGAGCCUUUCUAGGGAAACCUCCUUUUCCCCUUGCUCUCAACUCAGGUCUGGUUCUGAGUCACAAUCUCAAAAAUUGCAAUUUCAGCUUCAGUUCCUUGCCUGAAGAAAUGUGUUAAAAUAUAGGUCUUUGUUGUUGUUAAACCCAGGAGAAUGCGAAAGAGGAAAAAAA